ACUGGGUAUGGUGGAGCAUGCCUGUAAUCCCAGGAACUUGGGAAGUUGAGGCAGGAGGAUUGCAUAUUUGAGGCCAGCCUCAGCAAUUUAGGCCCUCUCUCAA
rnacentral:sRNA from 1 species